AGAGUUUGAUCAUGGCUCAGAUUGAACGCUGGCGGCAUGCCUUACACAUGCAAGUCGAACGGUAACGCGGGGGGCAACCCUGGCGACGAGUGGCGAACGGGUGAGUAGCGCAUCGGAACGUGCCCAGUAGUGGGGGAUAGCUCGGCGAAAGCCGGAUUAAUACCGCAUACGACCUACGGGUGAAAGCGGGGGACCGCAAGGCCUCGCGCUAUUGGAGCGGCCGAUGCCCGAUUAGCUAGUUGGUGAGGUAAAGGCUCACCAAGGCAACGAUCGGUAGCUGGUCUGAGAGGACGACCAGCCACACUGGGACUGAGACACGGCCCAGACUCCUACGGGAGGCAGCAGUGGGGAAUUUUGGACAAUGGGGGAAACCCUGAUCCAGCCAUGCCGCGUGCGGGAAGAAGGCCUUCGGGUUGUAAACCGCUUUUGGCAGGAACGAAACGGCGCGCGCCAAUACCGCGCGUUAAUGACGGUACCUGCAGAAUAAGCACCGGCUAACUACGUGCCAGCAGCCGCGGUAAUACGUAGGGUGCAAGCGUUAAUCGGAUUUACUGGGCGUAAAGCGUACGCAGGCGGCUGUGCAAGACAGGUGUGAAAUCCCCGGGCUUAACCUGGGAACUGCAUUUGUGACUGCAUAGCUAGAGUCCGUAAGAGGGGGGUGGAAUUCCACGUGUAGCAGUGAAAUGCGUAGAGAUGUGGAGGAACACCGAUGGCGAAGGC
rnacentral:rRNA from 1 species